rnacentral:rRNA from 1 species
CCUACGGGAGGCAGCAGUAAGGAAUAUUGGUCAAUGGACGAAAGUCUGAACCAGCCAUGCCGCGUGAAGGAUGAAGGCCCUCUGGGUUGUAAACUUCUUUUAUCUGGGACGAAAAAAGGGAAUUCUUUCUCACUUGACGGUACCAGAGGAAUAAGCACCGGCUAACUCCGUGCCAGCAGCCGCGGUAAUACGGAGGGUGCAAGCGUUAUCCGGAUUUACUGGGUUUAAAGGGAGCGUAGGUGGGCAGGUAAGUCAGUGGUGAAAUCUCCGGGCUUAACCCGGAAACUGCCAUUGAUACUAUCUGUCUUGAAUAUUCUGGAGGUAAGCGGAAUAUGUCAUGUAGCGGUGAAAUGCUUAGAUAUGACAUAGAACACCAAUUGCGAAGGCAGCUUACUACGGGAUUAUUGACACUGAGGCUCGAAAGCGUGGGGAUCAAACAGGAUUAGAUACCCUGGUAGUCCACGCCCUAAACGAUGGAUACUCGACAUCAGCGAUACACUGUUGGUGUCUGNGNGAAGANAUAUAUCCACCNGGAGGAGANCGCAGAGUAGAACUACAAUAGAGUUAGUACGGCGUGAGACGUAGACCGACGGACGACGACGAGGGAGGAGG